GAGCCCUGUGUCGUCCCCUCCAGGUUACUACAUUUCAGUAUUGUUAUUCUACUACACUACUUCUAACUUGAGAUAAUCAUGUGAAUGUGCUCUACUUACACACAUACAGGUGUGAUGAAGAAUGCAUUGUAUAGGGGCACAAGGUUUCCACACCAAUACAAGAUGUGAAGCAAGACAUCACGAUCUCCUUCAGGAAACUGCCUCCUUCGGAAGAGAAUGUGGAGACACCAAAUUCUAUGACUGCUGUGCAGGAACAGUGCUUUCAAAGGUGUACCAUGACUACUAUCAUCCCCCCGACAUGUACCAAGUUCAAAGCAGCUGCGAUGCUUCUAUAGAUCCAUUCCAAACAUCCAGUCACUCCCGAUUGGCUCGUUGUGAUAUGAAGUCACACAAUGGUGGUUAGAUGGUUGCUUUUAGAAGAGAUUUAUCUGUUUUUCCUCGAAUUGAUUUUGAUCGUACCUGGAAAGAUUAUGAGAACAGAUUUGCGGAAUGUUGGUACGGCUUAGAAGAGAUGCGUUGUCUAACACAAAAAGAAGUUGAAAUGAGGUCGAUAUGACAGCUACUAACGGGACCAAGUUUCAUUGGACCUACGGCUUGUUCACGAUCGAUGGACCGGAGACAAACUACACCCUCCACAUUGGGGAAGCUGUAUGGUCUCCUGUUACACAUGCUCCUGAUGCUCUUACAAGGAAUAUCAAUCAUGGUGGUAGUGGACCUCAAACGUUCACUACUAAACACAGGGAUAAUGAUAGAUACGAUGGCACUGGUAACUGUGCACAGCUUUAUUCUAGUGGGUGGUGGUGGGCUAGUUGUGGUCUUGUCCAGUUUUACGGAAACUCUAAUACUAUGUGAUAGUAU